rnacentral:rRNA from 1 species
GACGGAGGAUGCAAGUGUUAUCCGGAAUCACUGGGCGUAAAGCGUCUGUAGGUGGUUUAAAAAGUCCACUGUUAAAAAUUGAAGCUUAACUUCAAAGAUGCCGUGGAAACUUUUAAACUUAGAGUAUGAUAGGGGUAGAGGGAAUUUCCAGUGGAGCGGUGAAAUGCGUAGAUAUUGGAAAGACCACCAAUGGCGAAGGCACUCUACUGGGCCAUUACUGACACUGAGAGACGAAAGCUAGGGGAGCGAAUGGGA